GACCCCGCACAAGCGGUGGAUCAUGUUGUUUAAUUCGAAGAUACGCGAAAAACCUUACCAGGUCUUGACAUCCCUUGCAAUGCUGUAGAGAUACAGUGGAGGUUAUCAAGGAGACAGGUGGUGCAUGGUUGUCGUCAGCUCGUGUCGUGAGAUGUUGGGUUAAGUCCCGCAACGAGCGCAACCCUUAUUGCUAGUUGCCAUCAUUUAGUUGGGGACUCUAGCGAGACUGCCAGUGAUAAACUGGAGGAAGGUGGGGAUGACGUCAAAUCAUCAUGCCCCUUAUGACCUGGGCUACAAACGUGAUACAAUGGCUAUUACAGAGGGCCGCAAAGCUGUGAAGUGAAGCUAAACCCUUAAAAAUAGUCUCAGUUCGGAUUGAAGUCUGCAACUCGACUUCAUGAAGCCGGAAUCGCUAGUAAUCGCAAAUC
rnacentral:rRNA from 1 species